AUAAUGCGAUCGAAGGAUCGGUCGAUCGUGCAAAAAACGUGGGCGAUUAGAAGCGGUCGCUUUGCAAAGAGAGCCUGUAUUUGUCCUACGAGCUAAAGAGGGUGGGUGUUGGCUCGUCGUGGAUGACGCCACAAGAGUUACAAGGAAGGUGAACCGAUAGUGAGGAGAAUCGGAGGAUAAGGACUUUCAUCCUCGGAAACUAGCGCGGGUGUUGCGAAAGAAAGUCAGAUCGAAGCUGGCUCGCGCUCUAAUCCCAAGUCAGGAACUCGGAGACUUACUUAACAUUGGCGGGGAGAAACGAAGAGGGCGGGCGACGUGAGUACGGUGAACCCCGGAAGCGAAACGCAACGGUGGCCGGCUCGGUCGAGGGGGAGUUUGCAACAGCAGCACGGCGGUGCCAGGCCCGCGCAUGCUUCAACAACGAGGUUGUUCAGCACCCGCGCCCGCUGCGACGACCAGCUCGUCAUCGUCAUCGUCAUCGUCAUCCUCAUCGUCAUUCACCGCCACCACCAUGUUCCCGCAACAGUACUGCCUGAGAUGGAAGUACCAUCACAGCAAUCUGCAGACCAUGUUCUCACAGCUGCUCGAGCGACAGGCCUACUGCGACGUCACGCUCGCCUGCGAGGGCAAGACGCUGCGGGCGCA